GCGCCCGCGCCCUGAUUCCCGCAGUCUGCACCCCCACCCCCAACACCUUCCCCCAAAGUCCAAAACCAAACGCCUUUGGCCUCCUUCCUUUUCCCGGGGCCGUUGGCCGAAGGUGGCCCUCUUGACUCAUUCCCUUUCCGUUUCUUCCCACAGAUAGGUUCAUUAAUGCUUUUUCCAGCCGGAGUAAACUUAUGGGGGGGGGGGGCGUUCAGUUUACUCGGGCUGGGGAUAACCUGGAGCCUACUGCCCGGGAAGAUCCGGACUCAGACCGAAGGAAACCAACCAUUAAAAAAAUGCAUCCAAUGGGAAUUUUUCCACUCGGGCCCUCGGCUGCCGAGUCGCGGCAGACUCCGGGAGCUAUUUCACCGGCCGACGCGGACUCUGGGCGGUUUCGGAAGGACCCCACCAUCGGGGGCGAGGACUAGGCUCCCAGUGCAUUGUUAGCAGAAGGGCGCCCUCCGGGCGGCGCGCCUCGGCCCUUUGCUCCUGGAGAGCUCCCGGCGCCCGCCCAGGGCCAGAACCGGCAGCACCAUAGGCCACUUCUCCGCGCCUUCUAGGGUCCAACCCCUUGCACUUUACCUGGACCAGAUGGCCCAAGUCCCAGCGUUCGGCCAGAGCCGCCUAUGCAAUGCUACUCCAAGCCCCAAGAAACCUACGCUACCGCGGGACGUUCCCUCCACACUGGUCAACAGGUCUGCAGAGCGCAGCACUCAAGAUCGCGGCACCGUCAUCCCCACCCAGCCGUGAGGCCAGCCGACUUUUGGCCCGCCUUGUCGGCCCCCGCCACCCGGAGACCUCCCCCGUCUUUCUGCAGUGCCGCCGAACCCUCCAGUUGGGGCAGCCUCAGGAGUCCGGCGCGCAGCGAGGAGACAUCCCCCCACCCCACUCCUCCCCCAGGCGCUCUCGGCCUGACUCCCUUCUCCCCAACCUCCCAAACAGGUUACCUUGUCCACGCUCUCCAGACCACGCUUUGGACUUUUUCACGUUUAUUUAAGAGUCCACCCGGGGAAGGAGGAAAAAAAAAUCCAGAGGAGAUCCGAGUCAAUUGGAAAGAAAAAAAAAAAAUUCAAAAGGGUGUCCACAGCGGCGAAAAAGGGUUGCAUGAAAUCAGUGCUCAUGUGUUGGCUUCCUUUUUACAUACAUGGUUUAACCAGGAAUCCUGAGAUCAUCCCUCUGCCCAAGUACCAUGGGUAUGGUCAGCUGAUGGGGGUGUCCUCCCCUAGUUUGGUACCCAACUCUUCAGGUUGUGUGUGUGGACACACACACUCAGGGGAAGGGUCAUGAGAAGGACCUGAGUGAUAUCACUGAGAAGGCAAAGGUUUGCAAGGACUGUAUUAUCUUUGCUCUGUCGACUUGGACUUAACCCUAAAAAAAGAGGAAAGAGAACAGAAUUAAUGAAAGCUUCAAGUUCGGGGUCAUGUGUAGAAGGAGUCACUACCACAGUUUAAGGAGAAUGAAUCGGUGACUUUAAAGGCUUCCAGGCAUAAUUGGAUGGAGUGGGACAGUCAGUGUGUCCUCUGCAACUCUGAAGUGGACGAUGAUUGUCUUAGCUGAAAACGAAACAAACCCUUUGGGACGCUGUUGAGAAAAAUGCCAAAGAAGAAAAAGUGUGCCCACUCUGGCCACCGAAGACACUAGAGCAAUGCUGUCUGAAAUACAGAUGCCAUUUUCAUUCUUCUCUUCUUGCCUUCAGAACCCCAAUUUACAGAAGAAAAAAGAAAAAAAAAACCUUAGACAAAAGUCGAGAAGGG